GAUGAAGAACGCAGCGAAAUGCGAUAAGUAAUGUGAAUUGCAGAAUUCAGUGAAUCAUCGAAUCUUUGAACGCACAUUGCGCCCGCCAGUAUUCUGGCGGGCAUGCCUGUUCGAGCGUCAUUACAACCCUCAGGCCCCCGGGCCUGGCGUUGGGGAUCGGCGGAGCCCCCCGUGGGCACACGCCGUCCCCCAAAGGCAGUGGCGGUCCCGCCGCAGCUUCCAUCGCGUAGUAGCUAACACCUCGCGACUGGAGAGCGGCGCGGCCACGCCGUAAAACACCCAACUCUUCUGAAGUUGACCUCGAAUCAGGUAGGAAUACCCGCUGAACUUAAGCAUAUCAAUAAGCGGAGGA
rnacentral:misc_RNA from 1 species